UGAAAAGAACUUUGAAGAGAGAGUUCAAGAGUACGUGAAANCGUUCAGGGGUAAACCUGUGAAACCCAAAAGAUCGAAUGNGGAGAUUCAUCGUCAGCGUAUUCAGUAUUAAUGCAGGCUAUGAUGUGAUAAUAGAAUCCUCGUGGUCACUAGAUUAUACUUGCUUGUAUUAUUUUUGCUGGGUAUGUCGGCGUGCACUUCUCCUCUAGUAGAACGUCGCGACCCGUUGGAUGUUUAUUUAUGGUCUGAUUGGUAGCCUUUGAUAUUUAUUAUAUUGAAGACCUNUNGNNGUCCUGAUAAACUGUCUGACGGUAUACAUAUNGUAUUGAGCCNCAAUUAUUUNNGUUAGACUUGCCNC
rnacentral:rRNA from 1 species